GCGGGGUAACGGCCCACCAAGCCUGCGAUCAGUAGCUGAUGUGAGAGCAUGAUCAGCCACACGGGCACUGAGACACGGGCCCGACUCCUACGGGAGGCAGCAGUAAGGAAUAUUGGUCAAUGGACGCAAGUCUGAACCAGCCAUGCCGCGUGGAGGAUGACGGUCCUCUGGAUUGUAAACUUCUUUUCUCUGGGACGAAACCCCCGAUUUCUAUCGGGCCUGACGGUACCAGAGGAAUAAGCACCGGCUAACUCCGUGCCAGCAGCCGCGGUAAUACGGAGGGUGCAAGCGUUAUCCGGAUUCACUGGGUUUAAAGGGUGCGUAGGUGGGCAGAUAAGUCAGUGGUGAAAUCUCUGGGCUUAACCCGGAAACUGCCAUUGAUACUAUUUGUCUUGAAUUCUCUGGAGGUAAGCGGAAUAUGUCAUGUAGCGGUGAAAUGCUUAGAUAUGACAUAGAACACCCAUUGCGAAGGCAGCUUACUACGGAGAUAUUGACACUGAGGCACGAAAGCGUGGGGAUCAAACAGGAUUAGAUACCCUGGUAGUCCACGCCCUANACGAUGAUUACUCGGCAUUAGCGAUACUACUGUUAGUGUCUAAGCGAAAGCAUUAAGUAAUCCACCUGGGAAGUACGA
rnacentral:rRNA from 1 species